rnacentral:rRNA from 1 species
GUGCAGCAGUCGAGAAUUUCUCUCAAUGGGGGAAACCCUGAAGGAGCGACGCCGCGUGGAGGAUGAAGGUCUUCGGGUUGUAAACUCCUGUCAUUUGGGAACAAGUCGCUUACGUUAACUGCGUGAGCGUUGAUAGUACCAGAAGAGGAAGAGACGGCUAACUCUGUGCCAGCAGCCGCGGUAAUACAGAGGUCUCAAGCGUUGUUCGGAUUCAUUGGGCGUAAAGGGUGUGUGGGUGGCGCCGUAAGUCGGGUGUGAAAUCUCGGGGCUUAACUCCGAAACUGCAUUCGAUACUGCGGUGCUUGAGGACUGGAGAGGGGACUGGAAUUCAUGGUGUAGCAGUGAAAUGCGUAGAGAUCAUGAGGAAGACCAGUGGCGAAGGCGGGUCUCUGGACAGUUCCUGACACCGAGACACGAAGGCCAGGGGAGCAAACGGGAUUAGAUACCCCUGUAGU